UCUUGGGUGCCAACAUUUACCGGCAUGAAUGUAUGUGGCAAAUUGUUACAUACCUUCCAUCUAGGCUGCACAGAGAAUGCCUAGCGGAUACCUGGAAGCUAGUGAUGAGCGGCAGGGGCCAUAUUCGAAUUUGCGAUAUUUCGCAAAUAUAUGGAUGAAUAUUCGUCUUUUGUUCGGGAAAUUCACAUAUUCACUAUGUUUGUUCACUUCUUUUUCCCAUGCGAAAAAUCGUAAUGAAAUUCGCAUAGUGCGCAUGCGCGAUAAGGACGUGGUCUAGUUCUGCAACUGGUUUGAACUAAACAAAGUUUCCAUCCACUGGAAAAUAUGGUUGGCAGCAUGUUUCACAAGAGGGAGGAAAUCUUGAUCUAUCGCUUUUUGCAGCGGGGCUAUGACCAGACCCGGGUCCAAGCCGAGAAACAGGCUAAGGUGAAAGGCCUCAAAGCUAAGCUGUAUGCAAAGUACAAAAGGAAGCACCACAGAAUGGCCAUAUUAAAAAAAAGUGGUCAGAUUUGAAGAGGACUAUGGAUCUGAUCACAAAGAUCUGGGACACCAAAUGCCAAGGUGCAGGCUCCUAUAACACCAGUAUGACGACAUCUCCAUUCAAUCAACAGGCUACACCCCCCCCCACAGGGCCUACAACCCCAUUUUGGUCCCUUGGACCCAAAAAGUCGCUGCACUGACUGUCCUCUGUGAUGACUAUGGACCAACAUGUCUCUAAGGUUUUUUGAUCUCCGGUAAGUAAUUGAAGGUUGAUGUGAUAUAUAU